UAUUUGCUCAUGACGGCCACAGCUUAAAGCACCUACGGUUGUGGCUUGAUUUGAAAGA
rfam:Oryctolagus cuniculus chromosome 13, whole genome shotgun sequence.